rnacentral:misc_RNA from 1 species
ACAAAGUCUUAGCUGAGCUCUCUAUUCUACAAAUCACGGAGCCCUUAGAUGGAAUACAAAGCCUAGAUAAGAAUUAAUUGAAUCGAAGACCGAUUAGUCUCCGUCCGAAAUUGUCUUCUAUCUUAAGUUUUGGUCAGAGACUUGGGAAGUGGAGUUGCAGUUCCAGGUACGAUAUUAGGGUUUAUGCGUAUCAAUUUCGUUGCUCUUUUCAUAUGCGUGUAAUUUGUAUUUUUCUGAUUUGGUGGUUUAAAUUCUGGCAGUAAUCAGUUGAGAUUGCUGUUAAAAAUUCAAAUGGACUGCAGUUUUUGGGAUUUUUAGGUUUGAUUGCUGUUUAAUGUUCGUAAUAUUAGGGUAUGGAUGCGAUAUAGGACAUUGGAGUUUUAGGAUUCAUACUGGAAAUAUAAAUACUUGUCCUUUUCAGAUUAAAAAAUGCAGUACAGAAAGUGAUUUUCUGCAAUUUUACUCCUUGGUAGUCUUUCUUGAUUCGACAAGAUGUCGGCUUAUGAGAAUGUUGUGGGUGGGAAGCUGAAACUUAAGGGAAAAGCCUUGAAUGUGAAGCCCGGUGGACUGAAGAAAAAAAAGAAACAGAAGAAACACCAAGAUCAAGUUUCUCAAGUCUUGGAAAAUGAGCUUUCUGCAGGUUUGAUAUCCUUCUUUGCUCGUCAAAUUUAAUUUGGUCUCACAGUUCAUAUUCAUUUCUUCAAUAUUUUCUCUUCAAUUAUUGUAUGGAAAAUGCUCAGAGAUUGCGACUGUUAUGCUCUGAGCCGCCAAUGUAGCUUGGGCAAGGUUGUGUCAACUAACAUAAUUUAUUGUAUUACGUUAGUCUGUAAAGCAAGUCAGGGAACAAAGCCACCCGUGAAAUUUGUCCCUUGUGAGCUUGACUCUAGGCAUUAAGGGAGUAAAAUAGAUGGAAUAAAUUUGUCCCUUGUAACAGCAAUUGUUGCUGAAUGACCUCAAGAUUACUGCAUGCUAACCUUGGGGUUAAAGCAUUUUUAAAUAAUGUUGUAGUCAUCUAUACCCUUUUGCUGAAUACAAGGUUUAGGAUGAUUAGUUAUUGUGCUGUUGAUUAAUGCAUUAUCGGAAGAGGCCUAUUUUUGGUCUUCUUUGUAAACCUUGAUUUCUGCUUGUUAAUUUUUGUACUGGAUUUCAAUAAAAGAUUACUUGAGGAUUGGUAAUGAUUGUGCUGACAGUGUCAAGCAGAUGAUACUUUGCUCUUUAGUCUUACUUUCCAAAUAUCUAUCUCAACUUUGAAUCACCAUUCCUUUUGGUAUGUGGUGCAGAGGGAAACACAG